rnacentral:misc_RNA from 1 species
CCACGCGUCCGACUAAACCUACACACAUACACACACAUGCAAACACACACACACACACACACACACACACACACACACACACACACACACACACACACACACACACACGUCUAUUCUCAAUACACACCCAGGGUUUAUAUUUCAACCCUUAUCCCUGUUACUGAACACAAGAAACAGACCUCGAUUUCAACAUACAGACUAUGUAAGCUGAGCCUGUCGGAUUAGCAAAGUCAUGUGAAUUUUACUUCUCAUCUAGGUGAAUGUGCAGCCAUACUUUAUUAUUCUAUAACACUACCUUUUCUUAGAAGCUGUGCUUGGUGCUUCAGUAGCCUGUGUCUCUGCCUCAGGUAACUGGGGCAGGAAGGUCAGCUGGAAGUCUUCAUCCAUGGAGAUGUACGGUGCCAACAUAUCCAGAUCCAUGUCAUCCAGCUCCUGAAAGACAGCAGCAUCAGGAUAAGCAUUUCUGUUUCUUGUUCUAUUUCCUUAUGAAAAUACUAUACUGAUCAUUUCUGUGACGUUAGUGAACCAUCUACCUGCACUGGCUCUUUCUGAGUCUCUUCUGGCUUAUUGGCAAAGAACUUCUCCACCUCACCGGUGUCCAUGGGAACCUCGUCGGCCGAGCUCUGAGGGCCACAACAAAAAUGACAAUCAUAUUCCACAAUAUAGAGAGAAAGCUCGAGAGCUUUAAGAUAAAGAGUGUACGACUCACCAGAUCAGGGGAGGAGGGGCAGCUGCUGUCGAAUAUGGGCGAGAGGAGCUGGCGGAGUUUGGGGGUACACAGCUCCUUUGGACAUUUGGGCACUGUGGUGGGGCUGGAUGGUGGGCAAAAGAACAACUCGGUAUUCACUGCAGAAUGUAAAUGUAAAAAAAAAAAAAAAAUGCCCUUUAAAAAGUAGUUCCUAUUGAAAUACCUUAAAACAAUAAUUGCUCACUUUCUUACUUCAGCCAGAUUCAUAGCAAAUAUACGCCGGGUGUGAGGCGGGAGAUGGACGGGAUGCGUGUGAUCUUUUAUCGGCUUGUUAUUUUUAUGUUGUGAUGAGAAUUAAUGCCGACGCUAUACACUCGGCGAUCAUUAGCAAGCUAGCUAAAAAAAAAAAAAAAAAGGAGUGGUGCUACACGAACGUAGCUCUACCACUCUACCAGCCCAUGUUAGGCGUGUGCCAUUUAGUCACGCUUACACCGAGAGCCGAUUCAGCUAAUAAAAAUAUCCCAUUAGGCUAGAUUAAUGAGACUAGCAUAAUACAGGAUGUUUUAUGAAUGCUAGUCUCAUUCAGCCAAAUGAGCACACUUAAAGCACCCUUCUUUGUUCUCCUGUGUGCUUUAAAAGAAAAAAAAAAAAAAAAAAAA